UGUUAAAAAAAUUAUCUAUUUCUAUUAUUAAAAACUGGCGUGACUAAUGAAAUAAUCAAACAUUUACACGUGUACCUCACAUGUUAUCAUACAAGACCAAUUUUAAUAGUAGAAAUGAAUGAAAUUUUUAAUA
rnacentral:pre_miRNA from 1 species